UACGGAGGGGGCUAGUGUUGUUCGGAAUUACUGGGCGUAAAGGGCGCGUAGGCGGCUUUGCAAGUCGGAUGUGAAAUCCCCAGGCUUAACCUGGGAACUGCUUCCGAGACUGCAUCGCUAGAGUAUGGGAGAGGGAAGUGGAAUUUCAGGUGUAGCGGUGAAAUGCGUAGAUAUCUGAAGGAACAUCAGUGGCGAAAGCGACUUCCUGGACCAAUACUGACGCUCAUGUGCGAAAGCGUGGGGAGCAAACAGG
rnacentral:rRNA from 1 species